rfam:Octopus bimaculoides Scaffold28785_contig_26, whole genome shotgun sequence.
UCUUCGGUAGUAUAGUUAUAAGUAUCCCCGCCUGUCACGCGGGAGAUCGGGAUUCAAUUCCCCGCCGGGGAG